rnacentral:rRNA from 1 species
GACGAACGCUGGCGGCGUGCCUAAUACAUGCAAGUUGAGCGCUGAAGGUUGGUACUUGUACCAACUGGAUGAGCAGCGCACGGGUGAGUAACGCGUGGGGAAUCUGCCUUUGAGCGGGGGACAACAUUUGGAAACGAAUGCUAAUACCGCAUAAAAACUUUAAACACAAGUUUUAAGUUUGAAAGAUGCAAUUGCAUCACUCAAAGAUGAUCCCGCGUUGUAUUAGCUAGUUGGUGAGGUAAAGGCUCACCAAGGCGAUGAUACAUAGCCGACCUGAGAGGGUGAUCGGCCACAUUGGGACUGAGACACGGCCCAAACUCCUACGGGAGGCAGCAGUAGGGAAUCUUCGGCAAUGGACGGAAGUCUGACCGAGCAACGCCGCGUGAGUGAAGAAGGUUUUCGGAUCGUAAAACUCUGUUGGUAGAGAAGAACGUUGGUGAGAGUGGAAAGCUCAUCAAGUGACGGUAACUACCCAGAAAGGGACGGCUAACUACGUG